ensembl:snoRNA
AUCCUUUUGUAGUUCAUAAGUGUGAUGCUUGGGUGUUCCCAUGUGCAUGUGUGAGAUGUGCCUCCCUCAAACCUUGUUACAAUGUGGGCACAUUACCCAUCCAACA